GUUAGCCAGGAUGGUCUCGAUCUCCUGAACUCGUGAUCUGCCCACCUCAGCCUCCCAAAGUGCUGGGAUUACAGGCAUGAGCCACUGCACCCGGCCGAGAUUUCUCAAUCUUUUAAGAACUUCAUGUGGCUGAAAAGAUCAAGAAGAGACAUAAAGUCCUACUCACUCUGAACCAGCAGCACUGAGGAAACUGAUUAAGAAAUUCUAGUGUAUCGAUAGUGGAGAUCCGGAUCCAUUAGUUUGGUAGAGACUGAAAACAGCACUACUUUUAGAACUUGACCUGGAGCUCCAUGUCCCAGUGGGAGGACACUGGGAUUCCUGAUGUUGGGUGUUCUAUUCACUCAAAGCAUCAAGAGACUUGAGCUGCCUAAGUAGGGGAGUCUGUUGAUGACUUUCAGCCCUGUAUUCCUGCAGACAAUUAGGAAGAGGCUGCCAAACGGAUAUUAAUAGCUUGAUAUAAUCAUAGUAAUAUCAAUAGUGUUAUGAACAGGGGACAGAGAAAUUCUAGGCAGAAAAGGGUGGGUCCCUGGUGAAGCCUCACCCUCAAGCUGAAAAGCCUGAGACUGUGGCCCAAAGUGACAACGUAUAUCCCUUUUUUUCCACUUGAAUGUUGCCUUUUCCUAAACCACCCACGGUCUGCCCUGCUCCCCUGUCCUGUGCUUAUACAGACCCCAGAUUCAACUGGUAGAGGGGAGAAGCUGCUGGAUGUUGGCGACUGUGGUUGGACAUCGGAGAGAAGUGGCUUGACAUAAGAGGGAUAGCUUGAUGGCCUAGCUUCGGAGAGGAAUCUGGCCAGAGACAGCUGGACUUAAGGGGAAGAUGACCUUCCCAUCCCAUCCCCUUUUCAGCUCCCCUUCCUGCUGAGAGCCAUUUUCGUAGGCAAUAAAUCCCCUGCAUUUACCAUCCUUCAAUUCGUUCAUGCAACCUCAUUUUUCCUGGAUGCCAGACAAGAGCUUGGGAGCCAUGAGUGUGGAUGCAAAAGGCCCUUUGCCCUCACUGGCAGGAGGCAACCGUCUUACGUGAAAAGGCAGAGGGCCCACUGAGCUGUUAACACUUAAGCAGUCCACAGACAGCAGAGCUAAAAGCACUGUAACACUCACUCUGGGGCUUCAGGGUUUGCAGGCACCCCACUAGAUGCUGCCACAGGGCCUGCAUGGAGUUUGCUUCCGCCAGCACCCAAAAGCACUCGCCCUGGCUCCUGCACCUGCUCACCUGCACGUUCCCUCUGCUAGGGGUGGAGCACAGCGGGUCUGAGUGAGUGGAGUUCACUCCUGCCAGCGCCAAAGCCGCUGGCUGGUUCCAGCACUCAUGCACUCCUUUUCCCGCUUCAUUCACUUGCAUACUCCCUCCCACAAGGAGUUGAGAACUGCAGGCACCCCUGCUGUGAGUCCUGUGAAGGGGUCAAGGAAAUAUCCAGCUUCAAUAGGUGAUACUUAUUGAGCUCUUAGUCUGUGUGAGGUAUUGUUCUACAUGUAGAUUAUUUCGUAUUAUCUUUAUUAUUUUUGUAGGGCAGGUCCAAUUGUCUACAUUUUACACAGCCCCACAGAAAUACUUGCCCAAGACCAUAUAACAUGUUUGUGAGAGAGCCACGAUUUGAACCAGGUCUUCUGGCUCUGGCUUUGGGGUAAAUUAGGGAGUUCUGAGGAGUGUGAUUGUGAUUUUUAACUCAGUCACUUUGUAGAUCGUUCAAUACAGUGGGGUGCCACUUGAACCUUGGUAUAGCUUUCACUUUAUCUCCAUGAGUAAGAGCUGAUGCUAGCUCAAUUGUUAUGAGACCAACUCAUGCUUGAAAAAAAAUGGUCACAGGGAUGAAUGGGGCUGGAAACAUACUGAUCCCAGAGAUUUUGCAUAGUAUAUAGAGAAUCACUAAAUCAGUGAAGCAAUAAGUGGAAGGAAAUAUCUUGGUAAUAGAUUGAGAACCUUUAGAAAAUUGAUGCCUUAAGUAUUUCAAAGAAAAUAACAAAGGUCCCUUCUCUACUUGUGAAAGAAACAUUAAAGUCAGGUUUGUGACAGUUUCAACUAUGAGGUUGUGGAGGGGGUGGAGGUUGGGAUAAAUAAGACCCUCACAGUCUCAAAGAGAUUGGACCCAAGGAGUGGGUAGAAGCUAACAGAAUUUUCAAUGACCCAUCUCAGGUGAUGAAGAUUGGAAUUGGUGUGAAAGGGCCAGGCUGUACAACAGUAGCAGAAGUGAACUGCAGGGUGUGUUUGAUAAUUUAGAUAAAACACACAAUUCAUCCAACAAGUUAGGGAUGGUGUAUGGGAUGAAGGGAUGCUGUGUUGAAACCUUGAUUUGGGUUUCCUACAAGGGCACAGAUGAAAAUGUUUACCCCACAACCCUAAGGGCAUCAUCUAUAAUCUGCCCACUGUAUAAGGUGAGCCUAGUACUGACAUGGUCAUAACACCAUUCUGGAAUGGAAUGGGACCAGUGAAAGAUGAGUCACUUCCUUCCUCCUCUCUUGGUUUUCAUCUGGCCAUGAAAAGGACUGAAUAACAGGCAUCAAGUAAUUUCCAGAAUUCUGUAGUAGGUCAAAUUAUUUUAAUAGCCUGCUUUAGGGGAGAUCCAGUUUUUAACCGCUCACUAUACUUUAGCAUCAUUGAUUACAUUAGUGUUGGAAAUUCAGUCUCAAUAGCAUGGCAUUUGAUGAAAUAAUAUUUUACCAGUGUCCUUACUGGAAAUCAGAAUGCUGAAAAAAAAGAGCCUAUAUCUCACAGAACUCUAGUAUUAGUUAUGUUUUGGAAAAAAAGUAUAUAUUCAGAAAAGAAAUCAUCAGAAAAUUAUAAAAUUCCCAUCUUGAUUGACAAAAGUUUUAUGUAGUAUACACUUUAUCUGAGGAGCUCUUGCUUAGAGCAAAACUGGAACUCUUUGAGAAGCAUUUAAAAGACAACUCGAUUUGAGUCCCCUUCUGUCUCUUUUCCCAGAUUGAUACAUGUGGCCUCCUACAUUUAAAAUGAAAAGUCCUCAGACAAUCCUAAUCACAUUGUCAGUCAGAUAGUCAUCUCCUGAAAGGGGCUCCUUCACCUUUAAGGAUGCAUGUACAAUAGUGAUAUGUAAGCAGCUCAAAGACUCAAUACCCCUUUUUUCUGCAAAGCAAGGCUGGGUUAGGAAAAAAUCAAUAUGUUGGAAGUAAAGGUCAGACGAGGAAAAGUGACAUGAAACAGAACUAAGGGAACAAUAUCCUUCAUGAAGACUGUUUGAAGUUUCCUUUACCCUUGUGCUAGCUUCAGUGCAAAUAUAUUUUAUCCUAGAAUAGAAGGCUGUAUUCUUGAGGAAAAGUCAUAUUUUAAAUAUUUAUCUAUUCGGCAGCGUCCUUAUUGUAUAUUAUCCUUGUCCUAUUGACUAAUACUCAAAAAGAAUAGCACAGAGUUUAAAGUGCACAUUGCAUGUGAAUUGGAAUUGCCGGAUUUUUUUUUCUUAUACGCAAUGGGAUUCGAACACACAUAUGCAUUUGGCUACUUUUUUGAACAGUUCUCAAUUUACUUUUUCAAGUGGGCCAGAUGUACUACUAUAGCCCUUAAAAGGGUCAGGACCGUCUCCUUAUUUCCCCACUCUCUAUACUUAUUGCUUGGGUAUAGCUUUAAAGUAGCCCAUGAACCCUUUUCACUCUUGCAACACAUUUACCCACAAUUAACAAUCAAGCUGUCUUCCCUGCAUUCAGGACUCCAUUCUCCCGGGCCUCAUUUUCCCUGCCUCUCUCUUGAUCUACCAUUGUGCAGAGAGCUGUUUGUGCCAUCUCAAUCUGCCCCCCUCACCAGCCGCACAAGGACUGGGGGGGAAGAAAGCGCCCGGCAUUCAGAUGCUGAAUAGCAAAUUGCUCUUGAGUGUCCUUGCUUCCCCCAGCUCUCCCCCUUCCUCGGGAAGGACAAGGGGGGAGCUGAAAGCAACCAUACAUUUUGUUCAGUGCUCUUGAAAACAAGCGUUUCACACCUGAAGCCUUUCACAGCAGCCUAGAAGCACCCCUUCAAACCACUUAAUUGCCAAUUGCUUCAGAGCUCCUUGUAAAAGUCCAUUAUGUCAGCCAGCUCCAUGGCGGAGACAAAGUAUGCGAAAUGAAAGAGUCCUCCUUAUUCCAGGGCCAAUGCCGCAUUAAAUAUCCCCAGAUCACUGGUUUUCUUGUUGUUAACAGGGCGUGAUUGGCUCCCGUUGGAGCACUUUGAAAGCCAUGGGCCUGAUACAGGAGGAGUCUGAAUAAUCUGCGUCCAUUUUCAUGCGCGUCCGUGUGAAGAGACCACCAAACAGGCUUUGUGUGAGCAACAUGGCUGUUUAUUUCACCUGCGUGCAGGCGGGCUGAGUCCGAAAAGAGUCAGGGAAGGGAGAUAAGGGUGGGGCCGUUUUAUAGGAUUUGGGUAGGUAAAGGAAAAUGACAGUCAAAGGGGGUUUGUUCUCUGGUGGGUAGGAGUGGGGGUCUCAAGGUGCUCAGUGGGCAGGAGUGGGGGCGGCAAGGUGCUCAGUGGGGGUGCUUUUUGAGCCAGGAUGAGCCAGGAAAAGGACUUUCACAAGGUAAUGUCAUCAGUUAAGGCAAGGACCGGCCAUUUACACUUCUUUUGGGGUGGAAUGUCAUCAGUUAAGGUGGGGCAGGGCAUAUUCACUUCUUUUGUGAUUCUUUAGUUACUUCAGGCCAUCUGGGCGUAUACAUGCAGGUAACGGGAUGUGAUGGCUUGGCUUGGGCUCAGAGGCCUGACAUUCCUGCCUUCUUAAUAAGAAAAAUAAAACAAAAUAGUGUUGAAGUGUUGGGGUGGCGAAAAUUUUUGGGGGGUGGUAUGGAGAGAGAAUGGGCGAUGUUUCUCAGGGCUGCUUCAAGCGGGAUUAGGGGCGGUGUGGGAACCUAGAGUGGGAGAGAUUAAGCUGAAGGGAGAUCUUGUGGUAAGGGGUGAUACUGUGGGGUUGUUAGAAGAAACAUUUGUUGUAUAGAAUGAUUGGUGAUGGCCUGGAUACGGUUUUGUAUGAACUGAAAAACUAAAUGGAAUAAGAAGGAGAAAAACUGGUAUAAAAGGUCUAAGAAUUGGGAGGACCUAAGACAUCUGAUUAGAGAGUGCCUAAGGAGAUUCAGCAUAGUCCUGCCAGCAAAGAUUAUUUAUUUACUUCAAGAGUUCAGAGUGGCGGUUUGGGGAUAGCACGAGGAGAUAUCAGCUGUGAUGGCUUGGAUAAACAGUGUAAACCGGCAGUGUAAACAAGAGCAGGGCAUGUAUGAGUAGUUGAGAACGGAGAAGAGGAGUAUGACUAGACAGAAGAUAGUAGGGAUGACAAGUAUUUUUUGGGGCACAGUCUAAGUUGGUCUGGUGUCUGGAAUGAGACUAGGGCCUAAUAAAAAGGAGCAUCUAUACAGGAGCUUAAAUGGGCUGUACUUUGUAGCUUUCCGAGGACAGGCCUGAAAGCUUGGUGAGAUGUGUUUUUAAAAGACCUUCAGUCCAUUCUACCUUUCUUGAAAAUGGAGGACUGUAAGGGAUAUAAAGGUUUCACUGAAUACUAAGAGCCUGAAAAACUGCUUGGCUGAUUUGACUAAUAAAGGCUCAUCUGUUAUCAGACUGUAUUGAGGUGGGAAGGCUAAACUGAGGAAUUAUGUCUGACAGAACAGAAGAAAUGACUGUGGUGGCCUUCUCAGACCCUGUAGGAAAGGCCUCUACCUAUCCAGUGAAAGUGUCUACCUAGACUAAGAGGUAUUUUAGUUUUCUGACUCAGGGCAUGUUGAGUAAAGCUAAUUUGCCAGUCCUGGGUGGGGCAAAUCCUGGAGCUUGAUGUGUAGGGAAGGGAGGGGGCCUGAAUAAUCCCUGAGGAGUGGUAGAAUAGCAGAUGGAACACUGAGAAGUUAUUUCCUUGAGGAUAGAUUUCCACGAUGGAAAGGAAAUGGGAGGUUCUGAGAGGUGGGCUAGUGGCUUGUACUAUAGCAUAGCCUGCCUUUGCUGGUGUGUGGCGAUUAGGCCUGGUGGAACUGCCAUCAAUAAAUCAAGUGUGAUCAGGGUGAGGAACAGGAAAGAAGGAAAUGUGGGGAAAUGGGGUGAAUAUCAGGUGGAUCAGAGAGAUACAGUCAUGGGGGUCAGGUGUGGUAUCAGGAAUAAUGUGGGAGGCCGGAUUGAAGUCUGGGCCAGGAACAACGGUAAUUGUGGGAGACUCAACAAAGAGUGAGUACAGCUGAAGGAGCCGGGGAGCAGAAAGUAUAUGCGUUAGGUAUGAGGAAGAAAAUAGAUUUUGGAAGUUAUGAGAACUGUAGAGAGUGAGUUGAGCAUAGUUUGUGAUUUUGAGGGCCUCUAAAAGUAUUAAAUCAGCGGCAGCUGCUGCAUGCAGACGUGAGGGCUAGGCUAAAACAGUAAGGUCAAGUUGUUUGGACAGAAAGGCUACAGGGUGUGGUCCUGGCUCUUGUGUAAGAAUUCUGAACACGCUAACCAUGCCUAGGAAGGAAAGGAGUUGUUGUUUUGUAGAAAAUGCUUGGGUUUGAGAGAUCAGUCGGACACGAUUGGCAGGGAGAGCACAUGUGUUUUUAUGAGAAUUAUGCCGAGAUAGGUAACAGUUGAGGAAGAAAUUUGGGCUUGACUGAUGUAAUGGGGGCUGUCUGUGAAGCUUUGCGGCAGUACAGCCUAGGUAAUUUGCUGAACUUGAUGGGUGUCAGGGUCAGUCCAAGUGAAAGCAAAGAGAGGCUGGGAUUAAGGGUGCAAAGGAAUAGUAAAGAAAGCAUAUUUGAGAUCCAGAACAGAAUAAUGGGUAGUAGAGGGAGGUACUGAGGAUAGGAGAGUUUAUGGGUUUGACACCACUGGGUGGAUAGGCAAAACAAUUUGGUUGAUAAGGCGCAGAUCCUGAACUAACUUGUAAGGCUUGUCUGGUUUUAGGACAGGUAAAAUGGGGGAAUUGUAAGGAGAAUUUAUAGGCUUUAAAAGGCCAUGCUGUAGCAGGCGAGUUAUAACAGGCUUUAAUCUUUUUAAAGUGUGCUGCGGGAUGGUAUAUUGGCAUUGAGUGGGGUAAGGGUGCUUAGGUUUUAAUGAGAUGGUAAGGGGUGCAUGAUCGGUCACCAAGGAGGGAGUAGAGGUAUCUUAUACUUGUGGGUUAAGGUCGGGGGAUACAAG
rnacentral:lncRNA from 1 species